GCGCAUGUGGCGGAAUUGGUAUACGCGCUAGGUUGAGGGCCUAGUGGGGUUUAUUCCCCAUGGAAGUUCGAGUCUUCUCAUGCGCA
rnacentral:tRNA from 1 species